GAAACACGUCAACAAGUAAAACAAGUCUCACGUAAAUCCACCGUAACAACAGACAUUCACCGAAAAAUUACUGUCAAUCGCUACCUAUGACGAAACUAAUUUCUCUUCUGCUCGAAACAUUAAAACCCUUAAAUUUCUCGUUAACACGAAUUACGUAUAGUUAUCUACCGUUUGGAAUUUCUCCUUCGUUCCGAAGAAGGCAACGCCCUUGAACAUCCUCUUCAUCCACCGUAUCCGGACAGUUAGAUAUUUAUCAAGAAUCUCCCAAAAUGUUAGUGACGAGGAAACAGCGACGAAUGUCGCAACGUACAAGAUACGCCGUGAGAGGAACGAAGUCGGCCCUCUCGUGUUACAGGGUGGUAGUGAUGCCGGACAGACGUCGAUGUCAUCCGAAGCCGAAGCGAGAUACGGAGAAAAACGGGGCUUGGAGGUGUGGAACGAAGGAUAGACGCGAAUAUAACUUCAAGCAUGACUAUAAACUUCUCGCAAUCUCGUCUAGACGAGACACGUGGUGUCUACGGCUGUUCUUACUCUUUCCCGCUCGUUGCUGAAUUCUAUCUUACCCUGUCAAGGGCACGCCAAGUCGAAAGACUCACAAUCAGCUAAAAAUCUUUCGUUUUCAUUUCUGAUAUGUGCUGCGGCAGAUUAGCUGGUUGAUAACUGUGCAAAGGAAGAACGAGAUUUGCACAGUGCAUAGUUCCACCACGUGUCUCCGAUUCGCAGGAAUUCGGAGUUCUACGUGCUUGUUUCGCGGUUUGCCGAUGGUACGUUAUGGAAAUUUGAGCAUUUGCGUGGAAUCGUUCAAAUACAUCGACGCAGUACCGUUGAAGGAGAGCGUUAAAAUACAGUAGAAUUCCGUUUAUCCAAACCAGUGUCAUCACAAUUCCCGAAUAUAUUCCUGAAUUUUUAUUAUCCGACAGUUGUACGAAAAUUAAUUCCGAUUAUACAAAUGACAAACAGAGAAGGAAAGAAAAGCUAGUGGAUUCCUGUUAUCCGAUCGAUCCAAUUUUCCGGCACGUCUUGUACUCCAUUCGUAUCGAAUAAAUAAAAUUUUACUGUACAAA